rnacentral:rRNA from 1 species
GACAGAGGGUGCAAACGUUGUUCGGAAUUACUGGGCGUAAAGCGCGUGUAGGCGGCCAGGUAGGUCCGAUGUGAAAUCUGGAGGCUCAACCUCCAGCUGUCAUUGGAAACCAUCUGGCUAGAGUCCGGAAGAGGAGAGUGGAAUUCCACGUGUAGCAGUGAAAUGCGUAGAGAUGUGGAGGAACACCGAUGGCGAAGGCAGCCCCCUGGGUCAACACUGACGCUCAUGCACGAAAGCGUGGGGAGCAAACAGG